CGAACGCNGGCGGCGUGCUUAACACAUGCAAGUUGAACGGGCAGAUAUGGAAGCUUGCUGAAGUAUCUGUUAGUAGCGGACGGGUGAGUAAUGCAUGAGGAGCUGUCAUAGGGAGGGGGACAACAGUUGGAAACGGCUGCUAAUACCCCGUAUGCCGGAAGGUGAAAGGGAGCGAUCCGCCCGAUGAGGUACUCAUGUCCUAUCAGCUGGUUGGUGGGGUAACGGCCUACCAAGGCGACGACGGGUAGCCGGCCUGAGAGGGUGAACGGCCACACUGGAACUGAGAUACGGUCCAGACUCCUACGGGAGGCAGCAGUGGGGAAUAUUGGGCAAUGGGGGGAACCCUGACCCAGCGACGCCGCGUGAGGGAAGACGGCCUUCGGGUUGUAAACCUCUUUUGUACGGGAAGAAGGAAGUGACGGUACUGUACGAAUAAGUCCCGGCUAACUACGUGCCAGCAGCCGCGGUAAUACGUAGGGGACGAGCGUUGUCCGGAAUUACUGGGCGUAAAGGGCGCGUAGGCUGUGCUGCAAGUCAGCUGUGAAAUAUCUGGGCUUAACCUGGAUAUGCGGAUGAGACUGCAGUGCUGGAGUGCUGUAGAGGCAAGUGGAAUUCCCAGUGUAGCGGUGAAAUGCGUAGAUAUUGGGAAGAACACCGGUGGCGAAGGCGACUUGCUGGGCAGCAACUGACGCUGAGGCGCGAAAGCCAGGGGAGCGAACGGGAUUAGAUACCCCGGUAGUCCUGGCCGUAAACGAUGAAUGCUAGGUGUGGGUGUAGAGAUACAUUCGUGCCGGANUUAACGCGAUAAGCAUUCCGCCUGGGGAGUACGGUCGCAAGA
rnacentral:rRNA from 1 species